rnacentral:lncRNA from 1 species
GGAGGAGCUGAGCGGGCUGGACGAGGAGCGGCAGACGGCGGUGAGGACGUUCGAGGUUUGCUCGGGGUUGCACCCCCCCGGCCCCCCCCAGAACAGCUGGCUGCGUUCCACCUGGGUGCCGCGCCGGGGGGCCACCUACGUCUACGCCGAGCUGCGCUACACCGUGGUGGAAUGCGACAGCCUGCUGGCCAGGGCCCGACGAAACCGCCCCGCCGCCCUUAGCGACCGACCUCGGGGUGGGGGGGGGCGCGGUCUCCAUGGCAACGGCCCCGGAGAGGGGCCCGGGGGUCCCCGUGGCGACGGUCCCGGUGAUGGAUCGAGCGGUCCCCAUGGCAACGGACCCAGGGAUGGAUGGAGUGGUCUCCAUGGCAACGGUCCCGGUGAUGGAUGGAGUGGUCCCCAUAGCAACGGCCUUGGAGAUGGAUGGAGUGGUCUCCAUGGCAACGGACCCAGAGAUGGAUGGAGUGGUCCCCAUGGCAACGGCCCUGGAAGCAGGCUGAGCCGCAGUGUCCAUGGCAACGGCCUUGGAGAUGGAUGGAGUGGUCUCCAUGGCAACGGGCCCAGGGAUGGAUGGAGUGGUCCCCAUAGCAACGGCCUUGGAGAUGGAUGGAGUGGUUCCCAUGGCAACGGACCCGGUGAUGGAUGGAGCGGUCCCCAUGGCAACAGUCCUAGCAGCAGGGAUGCUCUUAGCAACAGCCCUGGCAACGGACCCAGGAACACCGAUAUCCAUGGCAACGGCCCUAGCAACCGACCCUGGACCACGGAUGCCCUUAGCAACGCCCCUAGCAACGGACCCAGGAACACCGAUAUCCAUGGCAACGCCCCUAGCAACGGGCCCUGGAACACGGAUGCCCUUAGCAACGCCCCUAGCAACGGAACAAACGGAUGCUACGCCCCUAGCAACGGCCCCGACGGCCGCCGCUCCCCUAGCAACGCCCCUAGCAACGCCCCUAGCAACGGAACAAACGGAUGCUACGUCCCUAGCAACGGCCCCAUCCACAGCCCCGACGGCCGCCGCUCCC